rnacentral:rRNA from 1 species
CCUACGGGUGGCUGCAGUCGAGAAUCAUCCACAAUGGGGGAGACCCUGAUGGUGCGACGCAGCGUGGGGGAAUGCAGGUCUUCGGAUUGUAAACCCCUGUCAUGUGGGAGCAAAUUAAAAAGAUAGUACCACACGAGGAAGAGACGGCUAACUAUGUGCCAGCAGCCGCGGUAAUACAGAGGUCUCAAGCGUUGUUCGGAUUCACUGGGCGUAAAUGGUGCGUAGGCGGUUUCGUAAGUCUGGUGUGAAAGGCGCGGGCUCAACCGUUGGAAGGCACAUGAUACUGGGAGACUAGAGUAAGGGAGGGGGAACCGGAAUUCUCGGUGUAGCAGUGAAAUGCGUAGAUAUCGAGAGGAACACUCGUGGCGAAGGCGGGUUCCUGGACAUUAACUGACGCUGAGGCACGAAGGCCAGGGGAGCGAAAGGGAUUAGAUACCCCUGUAGUC